AGUGGUGGCUCAACGCGAGUGAUACACCCGUUCUCAUUCCGAACACGGAAGUUAAGACUCGUAGUGCCGAUGGUAGUCUCUGUCACAGGAGGCGAGAGUAGGUAGCUGCCACGA
rnacentral:rRNA from 1 species